rnacentral:sRNA from 1 species
GCCCACCUGUCCUGCGGCACUGGAUGCUUUGUGAGUUGGGGAUUGUUGCGUCCCAAAGCUGGACUCAGAAGGGACUUCCCUGCUCGGCUGGCUCUCGGUUUCUCUGCUUUCCUCCGGAAAAAUAACGGCGUCUUCCGCGCCGCGCAUGGCGCCUCCCGGCCGCCGCGAGUGUCCCUUUCCUUCACGGCGCUUUCCUGGGUUGCUUCUGGCGGCCUUGGUGUUGCUGCUGUCCUCCUUCUCCGAUGCCUGUGAGGAGCCACCAACAUUUGAAGCCAUGGAGCUCAUUGGUAAACCAAAACCCUACUAUGACAUUGGUGAACGAGUAGAUUAUAAGUGUAAAAAAGGAUACUUCUAUAUACCUCCUCUUGCCACCCAUACUAUUUGUGAUCGGAAUCAUACAUGGCUACCUGUCUCAGAUGACGCCUGUUAUAGAGAAACGUGUCCAUAUAUAGGGGAUCCUUUAAAUGGCCAAGCAAUCCUUGCAAAUGGGACUUACGAGUUUGGUUAUCAGAUACACUUUAUUUGUAAUGAGGGUUAUUACUUAAUUGGUAAUGAAAUUCUAUAUUGUGAACUUAAAGGAUCAGUAGCAAUUUGGAGCGGUAAGCCCCCAAUAUGUGAAAGUAAGUAAAUUCUUUUUUUUUUUUAAUUUAGACCAGUAGUCCUCAAAGAUUUUUGCCUCCUUUACACCCUUUACACUUUAAGAUUAACAAAGAUCCCAAAGAGGUUUCUUUUAUGUGGGUUAUAUCUAUUGGUAUUUAUCAUAUUGGAAUUCAAACGGAGAGGUUUUUAAAUAAUUAUUGAUUCUUUUUGGUUUUGUUUAUGUUUUUCCUAAGACACGGUCUCAGGCUAUUUCCCAGGCUGGUGUGCAGUGGCACAAUCUCAGCUCACUGCAGCCUUAGCCUCUCCAGUAGCUGGGGCUUCAGGCGUGUGCCACUAUGCCUGACUUUUUGUAAUUUUUGAAGAGACGGGGUUUUGCCAUGAUGCCCAGGCUGGUCUUGAAAUCCCAUGCUCAAGCAAUCUGCCCCCAUGGGCCUCCCACAGUGCUGGGAUUACAAAUGUGAGCCACCCCACCUGGCCUGUUUAAUUUGUAAGAAUAAAUGCAAUACAAAUUAACAUAUGUAACAUAAUUUUUAUGAAAAAUAAAAAUUUUCCAAAUCAAAAUAAAAUUAGUGAGAAUAGUGGCAUUGUUCACAUUUUUUGCACAUCUCUUCAACAUCUGGCUUAAAGCAAGAUUGUAUUUGGCCUGUUGUGUUAUCACACAAUAUGUAGCCUUUGGAAAAAUAUCACUAUAUUCUUAUUAGGAUCAGAGUGAAAAAAGACAAUAAUAUUUUGGUGGCAUUGUGAAUCACCAAUUUAGAAAAUGGAUAUAUUUAUAAAUUGCAAAGGAUUUCUUAACUAGCACUGAGUUAAGCAUAUUUUCUCAUUAAUUGUCAGCAUUUCUUGUGAUGACUAGAACAGAACUUAGCGCGGCCUUGCAAAUAAAUAUAGGCGUAUUAGGCCGUUUUCGUAUUGCUCUAAAGAAAUACCUGAGACUGGGUAAUUUACAAAGAAAAGAAGUUUAAUUUGCUCAUGUUUCUACAAGCUGUACAGGAAGCAUGGUGCUGGCAUCUGCUGGGGGUUUGGGUAGGCCUCAGGAAACUUAACAAUCAUUGGGAAAGACAGAAGGAGAGCAAGGUGUCUCACAUGGCAGGAGCAGGAGCAAGGUGGGGAGGACGGGAGGUGUUGCACACUUUUAAAUAACCAGAUCUCCCAAGAACUCAGUAUCACGAGAACAGCACCAAGGGGAUGGUGCUAAACCAUUCAUGAGAAAUCUACCCCCAUGAUUCAAACACCUCCCACCAGGCCCCACCUCCAACACUGUGGACUACAAUUUGACAUGAGAUUUGCUGGGGACACAGAUCCAAACCAUAUCAGUAGGUAUUUACACUUUAAGAAAAUGAGAUUUGUUCUGAAAGUUAGUUACUACAGUAAUGGUUUGAAUUUGAGAUAAUAUAUUUGCUCAUAGAAACCUUCUUUUAAAUCCAUAUUGAAUUCACAACCAGCUUGUAGAAACCCUAUAUUGAUGAAUUUAUUGAAGACAUAGAAAUUUUACUAAUGCUGUCUUAAUCUUUUACAUUUCCUUUCCUCUUUUUCUUCAUUUUUAAGAGGUUUUGUGUACACCACCUCCAAAAAUAAAAAAUGGAAAACACACCUUUAGUGAAGUAGAAGUAUUUGAGUAUCUUGAUGCAGUAACUUAUAGCUGUGAUCCUGCACCUGGACCAGAUCCAUUUUCACUUAUUGGAGAGAGCACUAUUUAUUGUGGUGACAAUUCAGUAUGGAGUCAUGCUGCUCCAGAGUGUAAAGUGGUCAAAUGUCGAUUUCCAGUAGUCGAAAAUGGAAAACAGAUAUCAGGAUUUGGAAAAAAAUUUUACUACAAAGCGACAGUUAUGUUUGAAUGCGAUAAGGGUUUUUACCUCAAUGGCAGCAACACAAUUGUCUGUGACAGUAACAGUACUUGGGAUCCCCCAGUUCCAAAGUGUCUUAAAGGUACAAAGGUUAUCUUUUUUCCGUCUUGGUUUGUUAUUGUUGUUGCUGUUCAUUUUAGACUUUAUUUCUUUGAUAUUAACUAUCAGUCAUACAGAAUAACUGAAAAGAAACAAUUUUAGUAUUUAACUGUGUCUUGUAUUCAUUUCUAUGCCAGAUGUAUGACACGAAAUUCACAUAAAAUUCUGCUGUUGUGAUUUUGUAUGCUUUUCCAGGGUUCUUAGCAUGUUAUGUACAUUGCACGGGUAUAUGCUUUUAAUAUUUUUAUGUAUAAAAAGUGAAUUACAACAACUUUUUGGAGUGAAUUGAAACAUGGGCAUUUUUAUCUAAGUAAGUCAACAAAUUAAUAUAAAUGAAAUGAGAGCAAUAACUCCCAAGUGGUUGAUCUUCUAACAUUAUUUUAUUUCCUAGUGCUGCCUUCGUCUAGUAUAAAACCUCCAGCUUUGAGUCAUUCAGGUUUAGUAGCUUCUUCCUUAUAUGUCUCAAAAAUCUUGUAAAUUCCUGGAGAAAAUGCCAGCAAUAACUCCCAAAUGUUUGGUCCAAUCUACAUUAUUAUUUUGUUUUCCAGUGUCGACUUCUCCCACUACAAAAUCUCCAACGUCCAGUGCCUCAGGUUUAGUACUUUCCUGCUUAUAUUUUUUCAAAAAUCCUUUAAAUUCCUGGUGAUUUUUUAAAAAAUCCUUCAAAUUUCUGGUGGCGUUCACUUAUUUUUAGUAAUGAAAGGAGGGAGGACAUUUGUAUAGCCAUUUUAGUUGUUAUACAUAGUGAUUCUAAAAUUAUUUGCCAUAAUCUGCCGAUAUAAACAGGAAUAUGACCUUGAGAAAGUUGUAUAAAUUUUGAAUGUGUUUAUAUAUAUAUGUUUACAUUAUAUAUAUAGAAAUUGAUUUAGUACCUUCCUUAUUGGGUAUUAGUAAGGUAUAAGUGGGAUGCAUUUAAAGCACUUAGCACAGUGCCUGGUGUAGAGAAAGCUCUUAGAGCUAGCUAAUAUGACUUAUCCUACACUUAAAUUAAUGUUAGGGAAGGGGAAAGUUCAUGUAUGUUUGUUAGUAUGUAUGUGUGUUAAUAUGUUAAUAUGUUUGUUUGUUAAUGUGUAUGUUUUGUGUCAUCAACUUUGCUAUUUUAUUCUUUUCAGAAGUGAUCUGUUGACACCUUUACCGAGUUUGUUCCUAUUGCAGGACUCUUUCAUUUUCUGGAAUGCAACUAGUUUGAGUCUUCUGAUGUAAAACAUUUAAACGGAAAUUUCUGCUGUCCUCAGAACAAGAUCUAUAUUUCUGCCUCUUCCCUACCCACCCCUCUUCUACACCUCAUAGUGUUAUUUAUUUUUUAUCUCUUUAGUGGGCAGUUUUAUCUGGCAAUAGCAACUAAAUUUUAUAGCAACUGAAAGGCAGGAAAAGUCCUUAUUUACUGAAAUAAAACAGAAGACUUUCACAGGGACUCCUGGUCAACCACUGUGCUUAUGACUGGAGAGAUUAUUUUGAUAUAACGGAAGGAAUUAUCCUGAUUUCAGCACUACUAUCUCUGGUUUCACUUUGCUUCCAGCAGAAGCAAGAGACAAUAGUAAUUGUGGGUAGCACUUUAGUCUGGGCAGACUGUGCUUAGUUAACAUCAUUUCUGUGGUCUUCAGUUUCCCUUUAGUGUAAUGUGAGUGUUGAACUGAAAUCUCAAUCACUGGCUUCUAAUUUGGUUAUAUAUUUCCUAUCUCCCUAAUAUUUUGAAGGAUUGAAGAGAAUUAUGCAUGUUAACAUAGUAAUUAAGAUACCUUCUUAUAGGCUGGGUGGGGUAGCUCACACCUGUAAUACCAGAACUUUGGGAGGCCAAGGUGGGUGGAUCACGAGGUCAGAAGUUCAAGACCAGCCUGGCUAAGUUGGUGAAACCCCAUCUCUACUAAAAAUACAAAAAUUAGCAGGGCACGGUGUCAGGCAGUUGUAAUCCCAGCUACUCGGGAGGCCGAGGCAGGAGAAUCGCUUGAACCCGGGGGGCAGAGGUUGCAGUGAGCCAAGAUCAUGCCACUGCACUCCAGCCUGGGUGACAGAGUGAGACUCUGUCUCAGAAAAAAAAAAAAAAAAAAAAACCUUCUUAUAAUUCCUGUAAGAGCUUGGUAACUGGUAGCCUCCUGUGUUGAGUGCUGUAGGGUUUGAAGCGCAGGAAGAGAUGAGUUUUUUAGUGGACUGAUAUAUAAGCAAAACAAGAUUGCAUGUGAAAUUUAUACUCAGUGAGGCAUCCAGGCUUAACUCACAUGCUCCAGUGGGUAUAUGCACUAAUACUACGUUUGUUGAUACAGUCUUUUGAAAGAGUUGAUGAUAAGCAUUUCAUAAAGUAUUUAUAAAACACUGAUCUAGCUUAGUGUUGGAGAGCAGAAGAGAGAAUUGCUUGUGAUAAAAUGUUUAUAAAAAAGAGAAACGGCAAGGAUAUUUUUUGAAAAAUUACAAAUCAAAAUUCCUUAUGGGAUUGUCAAUGAUUUCUUAUCAUCUGCUAGAGGAAAACUAAAUAACAACAUAAUGAUGUUAAGGUAGAUCUAAAUGUGUUAACAAGAAGAAAUGUCGAGGAAGUCCUAAGUAGAAAAGAGAAAGAUGUAAAUUAUGUAGUAUCAUACUACUUACAGUUUUUAAAAAGAUACAUAUGUUUACCCCAAGCACAUUCCUUUUUUUUUUUUUUUUUUUUUUUUUUUUUUUUUUUUUUUGAGACAGAGUCUCGCUCUGUCACCCAGGAUGGUGUGCAGUGGCGCGGUCUCGGCUCACUGCAACCUCCGCCUCCUGGGUUCAAGCGGUUCUCCUGCCACCUCAGACUCCCAAGUAGCUGGGAUUACAGACACCCACCACUGUGCCGGCUAGUUUUUUGUAUUUUUAGUAGAGAUGGGGUUUCUCCAUGAUGGCCUGGCUAGUCUCGAACUCCUGACCUCAAGUGAUUCACCUGCCUUGGCCUCCCACAGUGCUGGGAUUACAGGCGUGAGCCACCAUGCCCAUCCUCACAUUACUUUCGUGAUGGUUAUCUUCUAGGAUUUCCAUUACAAAAUACAGAGUAUAGUGAGCAUUCUUGUACAUAUAUCCUUACAUACUUGUGCAAAUAUAUAUGUAGGUUAAAUUCUAAGAUGUGGAAUUGCAAAGUUUGUAAAGUAUGUGUAGUUUUCGUUUGAUAAACUUAAAAAAUCAAUAUCAAAAUUAAAGUCAUAAUUUUAUAUUGAUAAGGCCCUGGUGAAUUUAUAAAAUCAAACUUAUUUUUCUAGGUCCUAGGCCUACUUACAAGCCUCCAGUCUCAAAUUAUCCAGGAUAUCCUAAACCUGAGGAAGGAAUACUUGACAGUCUGGAUGAUUGGGUCAUUGCUCUGAUUGUUAUUGCCAUAGUUGUUGGAGUUGCAGUAAUUUGUGUUGUCCUGUACGGAUAUCUUCAAAGGAGGAAGAAGAAAGGGAAUGCAGAUGGUGGAGCUGAAUAUGCCACUUACCAGACUAAAUCAACCACUCCAGCAGAGCAGAGAGGCUGAAUGGAUUCCACAACCUGGUUUGCCAGUUCAUCUUUUGACUCUAUUAAAAUCUUCAAUAGUUGUUAUUCUCUAGUUUCACUCUCAUGGGUGCAACUGUGGCUUAACUAACAUUCCAAUGUGGCUUGAAUGUAGGUAGCAUCCUUUGAUGCUUCUUUGAAACUUGUAUGAAUUUGGGUAUGAACAGAUUGCCUGUCUUCCCUUAAAUAACACUUAGAUUUAUUGGACCAGUCAGUGCAGCAUGCUUGGUUGUAUUAAAACAGGGAUAUGCUGUAUUUUAUAACAUUGGCAAAAUUAGAGAAAUAUAGUUCACAUUGAAAUUAUAUUUUCUUUGUAAAGAAAGUGGCUUGAAAUCUUUUUUGUUCAAAGAUUAAUGCCAACUCUUAAGAUUAUUCUUUCACCAACUAUAGAAUGUAUUUUAUAUAUCGUUUAUUGUAAAAAGCCCUUACGAAUAUGUGUAUACUACUUUGGCUCUUGUGCAUAAAAACAAGAACACUGAAAACUGGGAAUAUGCACAAACUUGACUUCCUUAACCAAGAAUAUUAUUGGAAAAUUCUCUAAAAGUUAAUAGGGUAAAUUCUCUAUUUUUUAUAAUGUGUUCAGUGAUUUCAGAAAGCUAGAAAGUGUAUGUGUGGCAUUUGUUUUCACUUUUUAAAACAUCCCUAACUGAUCGAAUAUAUCAGUAAUUUCAGAAUCAGAUGCGUCCUUUCAUAAGAAGUGAGAGGACUCUGACAGCCAUAACAGGAGUGCCACUUCAUGGUGUGAAGUGAACACUAUAGUCUUGUGGUUUUCCCAAAGAGAACUCCGUAUGUUCUCUUAGGUUGAGUAACCCACUCUGAAUUCUGGUUACAUGUGUUUUUCUUUCCCUCCUUAAAUAAACAGAGGGGUUAAACAUGCCCUCUAAAAUUAGGUGGUUUUGAAGAGAAUAAAUUGAUCAGAUAACCUCAAGUCACAUGAGAAUCUUAGUCCAUUUACAUUGCCUUGGCUAGUAAAAGCCUCUUACCUAUGUAUGUGUCUUACCUCAUCUCCUAAAAGGCAGAGUACAAAGUAAGCCAUGUGUCUCAGGAAGGUAACUUCACUUUGUCUAUUUGCUGUUGAUUGUACCAAGGGAUGGAAAAAGUAAAUAUAGCUCAGGUAGCACUUUAUACUCCGGCAGAUCUCAGCCCUCUACUGAGUCACUUAGCCAAGCAGUUUCUUUCAAAGAAGCCAGCGGGCGAAAAGCAGGGACUGCCACUGCAAUUCAAAUCACACUGUUAAAAGUUGUGUUUUGAAAUUUUAUGUUUAGUUGCACAAACUGGGCCAAAGAAACGUUGCCUUGAGGAAGAUAUGAUUGGAAAAUCAAGAGUGUAGAAGAAUAAAUACUGUUUUACUGUCCAAAGACAUGUUUAUAGUGCUCUGUAAAUGUUCCUUUCCUUUGUAAUCUCUGGCAAGAUGCUUUAGGAAGAUAAAAGUUUGAGGAGAACAAACAGGAAUUCUGAAUUAAGCACAGAGUUGAAGUUUAUACCCGUUUCACAUGCUUUUCAAGAAUGUCGCAAUUACUAAGAAGCAAAUAAUGGUGUUUUUUAGAAACCUAAUUGAAGUAUAUUCAACCAAAUACUUUAAUGUAUAAAAUAAAUAUUAUACAAUAUACUUUUAUAGCAGUUUCUGCUUCACAUUUGAUUUUUUUCAAAUUUAAUAUUUAUUUUAGAGAUCUAUAUAUGUAUAAAUAUGUAUUUUGUCAAAUUUGUUACUUAAAUAUAUAGAGACCAGUUUUCUCUGGAAGUUUGUUUAAAUGACAGAAGCAUAUAUGAAUGUAAGAAAAUUUUUUAAGCUGCAAAAAUGUAUUUGCUAUAAAAUGAGAAGUCUCACUGAUAGACGUUCUUUAUUGUUCAUUUUUUUAAAAAUGGACUCUUGAAAUCUGUUAAAAUAAAAUUGUAUAUUUGGAGAUGUUUCA